UACGUAGGGGGCAAGCGUUGUCCGGAUUUAUUGGGCGUAAAGGGCGUGUAGGCGGCCUGGAAGGUCAGCUGUGAAAACUCGAGGCUCAACCUCGAGACGUCGGUUGAAACCACCUGGCUAGAGUCCGGAAGAGGAGAGUGGAAUUCCCGGUGUAGCGGUGAAAUGCGCAGAUAUCGGGAAGAACACCCGUGGCGAAGGCGGCUCUCUGGGACGGUACUGACGCUGAGACGCGAAAGCGUGGGGAGCGAACAGG
rnacentral:rRNA from 1 species